rnacentral:rRNA from 1 species
GCCAGACUCCUACGGGAGGCAGCAGUGAGGAAUAUUGGUCAAUGGCCGAGAGGCUGAACCAGCCAAGUCGCGUGAGGGAAGACGGCCCUACGGGUUGUAAACCUCUUUUGUCGGGGAGCAAAGCGAACCACGUGUGGUUCAUUGAGAGUACCCGAAGAAAAAGCAUCGGCUAACUCCGUGCCAGCAGCCGCGGUAAUACGGAGGAUGCGAGCGUUAUCCGGAUUUAUUGGGUUUAAAGGGAGCGUAGGCCGGUCUUUAAGCGUGCGGUGAAAUUGUGUGGCUCAACCAUGAGAGUGCGGCGCGAACUGGGGACCUUGAGUGCGCGGAAGGCAGGCGGAAUUCGUGGUGUAGCGGUGAAAUGCCUAGAUAUCACGAAGAACCCCGAUUGCGAAGGCAGCCUGCCGCAGCGUUACUGACGCUGAAGCUCGAAAGCGCGGGUAUCGAACAGGAUUAGAUACCCGGGUA